rnacentral:rRNA from 1 species
CCUACGGAUGGCAGCAGUGGGGAAUCUUGGGCAAUGGAGGAAACUCUGACCAAGCAACGCCGCGUGAAUGAUGAAGGUCUUCGGAUUGAAAAGUUCUUUUCUAAGGGAAGAAGAAAGUGACGGUUCCUUAGGCAUAAGUCUCGGCUAACUACGUGGCAGCAGCCGCGGUAAUACGUCGGAGGCGAGCGUUAUCCGGAAAGACUGGGCGUAAAGGGUGCGUAGGUGGUUUGGCAAGUUAGUAGCGUAACUCCAAGGCUCAACCUUGGAACUACUACUAAAACUGUUGGACUUGAGUGCAGUAGGGGCAAGCGGAAUUCCUAGGGUAGCGGUGGAAUGCGUAGAGAUUAGGAGGAACACCAGUGGCGAAGGCGAGUUGCUAGACUGUAACUGACACUGAGGCGCGAAAGCGUGGGGAGCAAACAGGAUUAGAUACCCCAGUAGUC